UACGAAGGGGGCUAGCGUUGUUCGGAAUCACUGGGCGUAAAGGGCGCGUAGGCGGCUUGAUAAGUCGGGGGUGAAAGCCUGUGGCUCAACCACAGAAUUGCCUUCGAUACUGUCGAGCUUGAGGACUGGAGAGGAGAUUGGAAUUCACGGUGUAGCAGUGAAAUGCGUAGAUAUCGUGAGGAAGACCAGUGGCGAAGGCGGAUCUCUGGACAGUUCCUGACACUGAGGCACGAAGGCCAGGGGAGCAAACGGG
rnacentral:rRNA from 1 species